UUACGGUCAUAUCAUGUUGAAAUAACGGUUCUCGCACGAUCACCAAAGUUAAGCAAAGUUGAGCCUGGUCAGUACAUGGAUAGAUGACCGUUUGAGAAUAUCAAGUGCUGU